GGAAAUGUGGCUUAGUGGUAGAGAUCUUGCCUAACAUGCAUGAAGCCCUGGGUUCAAUUCCUCAAUACCA
rnacentral:tRNA from 1 species